rnacentral:rRNA from 1 species
GACGAACGCUGGCGGCGUGCCUAAUACAUGCAAGUCGAACGAACAGAUGGGAGCUUGCUCCCUGAUGUUAGUGGCGGACGGGUGAGUAACACGUAGGUAACCUGCCUGUAAGAUUGGGAUAACUUCGGGAAACCGAAGCUAAUACCGGAUAAUAUAUGAAACCACAUGGUUUCAUAUUGAAAGAUGGCUUUUGCUAUCACUUACAGAUGGACCCGCGGCGCAUUAGAUAGUUGGUGAGGUAACGGCUCACCAAGGCGACGAUGCGUAGCCGACCUGAGAGGGGGAUCGGCCACACUGGGACUGAGACACGGCCCAGACUCCUACGGGAGGCAGAAGUAGGGAAUCUUCCGCAAUGGACGAAAGUCUGACGGAGCAACGCCGCGUGAGCGAAGAAGGCCUUCGGGUCGUAAAGCUCUGUUGUUAGGGAAGAACAAGUACCGUUCGAAUAGGGCGGUACCUUGACGGUACCUGACGAGAAAGCCACGGCUAACUACGUGCCAGCAGCCGCCGUAACAC